GCAGUCAUUGCGCAGGCACUUUGGUGACUCUAAAUAACCUCGGGCCAAUCAUACGUCCCCGUGACGGCGACGACGCAUUCGGAUGUCUGCCCUAUCAACUUUCGAUGGCCUACCAUGCUGACCACGGGUAACGGGGAGUCAGGGUUCGAUUCUGGAGAGAGAGCCUGAGAAACGGCUACCACAUCCAAGGAAGACAGCAGGCGCGCAAAUUACCCACUCCCGACGCGGGGAGGUAGUGAC